rnacentral:rRNA from 1 species
UUCGACGGGGGGGGAAAUGCCUAGGAAUCUGCCUGGUAGUGGGGGAUAACGUUCGGAAACGGACGCUAAUACCGCAUACGUCCUACGGGAGAAAGCAGGGGACCUUCGGGCCUUGCGCUAUCAGAUGAGCCUAGGUCGGAUUAGCUAGUUGGUGGGGUAAUGGCUCACCAAGGCGACGAUCCGUAACUGGUCUGAGAGGAUGAUCAGUCACACUGGAACUGAGACACGGUCCAGACUCCUACGGGAGGCAGCAGUGGGGAAUAUUGGACAAUGGGCGAAAGCCUGAUCCAGCCAUGCCGCGUGUGUGAAGAAGGUCUUCGGAUUGUAAAGCACUUUAAGUUGGGAGGAAGGGUUGUAAAUUAAUACUCUGCAGUUUUGACGUUACCGACAGAAUAAGCACCGGCUAACUCUGUGCCAGCAGCCGCGGUAAUACAGAGGGUGCAAGCGUUAAUCGGAAUUACUGGGCGUAAAGCGCGCGUAGGUGGUUAGUUAAGUUGGAUGUGAAAUCCCCGGGCUCAACCUGGGAACUGCAUCCAAAACUGACGAACUAGAGUAUGGUAGAGGGUGGUGGAAUUUCCUGUGUAGCGGUGAAAUGCGUAGAUAUAGGAAGAAACCCCCCAUUG